GACGGGGGGUGCAAGCGUUAAUCGGAUUUAUUAGGCGUUAAGGGUACGUAGGCGGACCGUUAAGUCAGAUGUGAAAUGUCAGAGCUCAACUCUGACACUGCAUUUGAAACUAGCGAUCUAGAGUUUAUUCGGAGAAAAUGGAAUUCCAUGUGUAGCGGUGAAAUGCGUAGAUAUGUGGAGGAACACCAGUGGCGAAAGCGGUUUUCUAGGAUAGACUGACGCUGAGGUACGGAAGCAGGGGGAGCAAACAGG
rnacentral:rRNA from 1 species